AUGUCCCCUCCGUCCUCCUCCCGCGACGCGCGUCACGGGAGAAACCCUUGUGCCGCCGCCGCCGGGACCCCCUCCUCAUCCCCUUCUCCCCUCCCCUGCCGCCGCCUGCGAGCAAGGCUGGCGAAGCCCGGUCGGCUCCGGCGGUGUGUGUGUGUGGGGGGGGGGGGGUCUUCCCUUCACCGUGUGGCCGCAUGUGGCGCAGGAUGGCGUGGCCGGCGAAGGUGCCGUGCGAGUAGGGGGGACGACGACGUGGCAUCUGAGUGUGGGGCGGCGACGCCUGGCCAGGUGCUCGUACGGGUGGCUCUACGGCGGGGGGUGGCUGCGAUGUUGCCGGCGGCUGUGUUUGUGCGCGCCCAGAUCUAG
rnacentral:rRNA from 1 species